rnacentral:lncRNA from 1 species
GAUUAAGUUGGCAGCUGGAAGCAUCUGCUUCUCCGCGGUUUGGUUGCUCCCCCUGGUUGGGUGUCUGUACUCUGUAUAUACCAAGUCUUGACGUCAACGAUGACAUCAUCAAUCCCCUGAUUUUUGAUUUUUUCGUCGUUGUUUUGCUUGCAUAUGCUGUCAAGAAGCGCUUCAUCCCCCGUGAGUUUCUUGAACUUCAUUCAUUCCCCUUUCCCGUCUAGUCCUCCGGACAAGCUUUAACUAAUUCUAAGGUUUUGGGUCGUACGCCAAAGCAAAAAGAAAGCAAAAAGCUUCAGCUUUGAGGCGGUAGUCAUUUUGGCAUCCAAUAGAUGAAUCGUUGUUGGCGGGUUUUCUCUUUCUUUGCCCCCUUUUUUUUUUUUUAUAAGAAACGAUGAAUGUAGAUUGAUAAUAUGGAUCCAAGCACUCAUCUUUCUUUAAUUUUGAGUCACUUCUGUCGAUUGUUCAUUGUUAUAUGCUGGGUCCCGAAUUGUGGUUUAGUUGGUAUGAACAGAAACUUGGAGCUUUUAUGUGAAUUUACAGGAGGCAAUAGUUUAUAAUAUAUGUGCAUACAUUGGAUACUGGUAGUUCGUACAUUAGCAAAAGCUGUUUACUAUAGUGUACAAGUUUCAUCAAGAACUGUAGACAAAAGCAGCAAAAGCUGGUAUGUACAUUAGCAAAAGGUGAUCAUUGACAAAAAUAGGUGACUUUAUGACACUAAACUGAUCUCAAAAGCUGAUGCAAAACAUAGGAAUGGUGCAUGAUUUUAGUCGAUUAUUUGGUGCUUUGGCUGGUCAGUGAUUGUUGCUGGUGGAUCUCUUUUCUUAGUUGCUGUAGCUUGUGCGAUGGUUGGAUUGGUUGUGUCUUUGCUUGAAUCUUCAGUUGCAAUUUGUUGAUCAGGUAGGUUUGAUGAUGAGGCUUCAUUGGUUGCUGGUGCAGGGGUCUGUGUAGGAUCUUCAAUUGGUAGACAAGCGAGGAUGUUGUACUUUGCUACAAUUGUGUUUUGUAGAGGAUGAGUGAAUUUCCUGACUUGAAAACGAAAUGUGCUCAUAUGGAGCUUUAUAUUGAUGUCUGCAAUAUCUGGAAUUUGGUUCUGUGGACAUUGGUUUCUGAAUGAGUAUGUCUUUGGUUUGGUAUAUGAAUAGUGUGAAUAAAUUUGUAUUCUAUAAAAAGUAAUGUUGUUAAUGUUCAAAAUUACCUUUAGUGUCAUGUAGAGUAUGUCUUCAGCAGAGAUGUUGAGAAUGUGUUGAGCAUGCUGGUCUUCAAUUUGUGCAGUAAUUGUUCCAGUAGUAUCAGACAGUUGCACUAAGAACUUGAGCCUGCAUUAAGUAUUAUGGUUUUGUUAUGUUAUGAUAAGAAGAAUGUUAUGAAUUUUAGUGUGUAAAUAUGUUUAUGGAUUUACCUUGGCAGUGGUUUUGCAAAUGUCAUGUUGCAAUGACGGCAUAAGAAGUUGAAAUUUGCUUGAGCUCCAGUUUGUUUCUUGCAAUUAGAAGCUGGACAGGUAAGGAUGUAGAGUCGAUGUUGAGGCUGAACUAUCUUUGCUUUGGCUUUGAUCCAGAAUGGCUUUGCCUGUAAGAUUUCAUGUGGUUAAAUAUUAGAUUUUGUUGUGAUAGUAUUUGUUAUCGAAUAUAUUGUAUUUUGUACUGAUAAAUGUAGUAGUUGUACCAGAUAAGGAGUAUUUAGUGCAUAGCUGAUGUCGUGCAUAUGUUCUUCAGGAGGAGGUUGGACUGUUUGAUGAGUUGCAUCAUAAAGUUUUUUUGCUAAAACUUGCUCAAUAUAAGGUCUGCUUGCUUUGGUCCUGUUAUAUUGUAUAGGAUGGUGUCAGAUUUUGGUUAUAAUGUGCCUAACGAAUAAGUAAAUAUUGACUUUAUCAACUUACCAACUUUUGAGUUCUAGUGCUUGAGGGAUUUGUGGAUCAAACAAGAUAGCACUCAUUGUUUGUGUCUCGACAGAUAAAACUGUUAUAUGAUUAUUUGAAAAAUUAGUACUAUAUUCUGUAAAGCAGAUAAUAUACUUGACUUUUGUAAGUUUAUAUGAAUUAGGGACAGAUUGACAUACCAUGUACUGAAGUCACUUUGGCUCUUGUUAUAAUCAAUGUCGGGGAUUGAUUUAAGAUCCUCAGAAGGUAUUGUGCUUCAAUGUCAAUGAAUUUUGGCCACAUUGUAAGUAUCAUUGGCUUUUGUCUGCAUCAGUUAUCAAUAGUUAAUAUGAGUUUUGUGUUGUAUUGCACUUUAUUAAUUUGCAUUGUUUUUAUACUUACUCUUGAUUUAGGAUGAUGAAUUCUUGAAUUGGAUAAUCGCCUCUUUGUCGUGCAAUGAAGCGACGGGGAAGAGCUCCAAUGACAGUGCAUAGCAGAGCUGAGACAAGAGCAUUAGGUAUUAGUAUUGAUAU